UUUAAGUGUUAAUAAUUAGAACUAAAGUAGUAUUAGUUAUGUUCUUUAAAUUUAAAGAUUUUGGCGGUAUUUUAGUCUAUUCAGAGGAACCUGUUCUGUAAUUGAUAGUCCACGAUUAACUUUACUUGAAUUUAAAAGUUUGUAUAUCGUUGUUUAUAGAAAAUUUUUUAAGAAAAAUAAUUUUUAAUAAAUUUAAUUAAAUUAUAAAUCAAAUCAAGGUGCAGUUUAUAUUUAAGUAGAAAUGGGUUACAAUAAAAUUAUUUAUACGGAUUUAUAUUUUCAAUAAUGUAAUAAAGGAGGAUUUGAUAGUAAUUUUAUUAAUUUAAAUAAAGUGAUUAUAGCUCUAGAAUAUGU
rnacentral:rRNA from 1 species